GGGGAUGCUAACGGUGUUCGGAAGGACCAUUCAAAUCCAGACUAUUGCAGACAUCGUCUCCAUUAGGGCCAGAGAGAGGCCCUAAAAGCUGGACUGAACAGAGCAAAUCUGAAUGGGAGGUGUGUCAAGGAGGCCGACCUGGGGACCGGACAGCGCUGGACAGGCUCCUUUUUUCUGUGGGUGCUGGGCCGCAGAGCUGCUCAUUAAAAGGAGGAUACGUAAACAGCCGUGACCGGGGCGGGCUGUUGUGUCUGCUCAGCGCUGCUCAAGUGUGAAGAAUGGAGAGGGAGCGGCAGACGGGGCCGGGCGUGGGCCGGGACCGGGCCGUGACCGCGACGCUUGUCCAUCUGCUGGCCGUGCUGCGGCCCUCAGACCUGCCGCGACUCCAGUAAUGAUCCCCUGGGGCAGCAGGGCUUGUCUCAAGUGCAAUGAGGGGAGAAAUGGCAAUGUCAGAUUGAACUGAAACUAUGUCUCCAGGAAGCUUGAAGUGAAAGUUCCCAG